GUAGUACUCCCUCUGUCCGGAAAUACUUGUCAUCAAAAUGAAUAAAAGGGGAUGUAUCUAGAUGUAUAUUAGUUCUAGAUACAUCUUUUUUAUCCAUUUUGAUGACAAGUAUUUUCGGACGGAGUGAGUACCUG
rnacentral:pre_miRNA from 1 species